GAGGGUUCGAAUCCCUCUCUUUCCG
rnacentral:tRNA from 1 species